rnacentral:lncRNA from 1 species
ACUUCUUUCCCUCCUUUGCAAAGAACUUUUCUUGGCUUGUUUUUCUUUUCUUAGAUGUCCAACUCUUGGACUUGAAAAUAUAGGAGGCGUGUAUCCUCAUGAGUCAUGAGAUGAGGAGGGGCGUGAGGAAUUAGAGCAUAAAAGAGAGAGGUGUGCAUCUCCUAAGCCAUGGACUCUCCAUCAGGUGUGAUAUUUUUGCCAAGAACAAUUCUUAGGCAUGAGAAAGGGCUUACUUCUCCUAGGCGCAUG